CCGAGCUCGAGGAGAGGACGUCAUCGCCGUGGAGACGGGGCCCUCGAAUGCGCAGGCGCGGGGCUCGAUCCGCCAUUUUGUUGCGGCCUAGCUUUCGGAGAGGAGGCCUUUUCUUGGCGUCGCCAUGGAGACCGGGACUCCGAUAAGAUAUACAGACUGGACUAAAGUAGAAGAAAUUCGAAAGAAAAAGAAGUUGAAGGAUAAGCGAUAAAGAACAGAAGGAUGAAACCUUUUUGUACCUCUCUCUCUUCGUUGGCCCUUGAAGACUAACCUUUGGAAAAGUAACUUGGAAAAGUAACUUAUGGACAACCUCAAUCCCAGCCUUCAAAUCCAAGGAAAUUUUCCCAAUCGGAUGUCUCGCAUUCCCAUUGAUUUUAUAAAGGGCACCAGAAUGUGGACUACAACUCCCAGCGUCCUCCAGCCAGGAAAUUCAUGCACACAAAGCCCUGAAGGUCAUUUGAUUCGUGUUAUUUUUAAUGGGACAAAGUUUGUACAGGUUGGAGGGGGGAAAGGUAGCACUCUCUCAGCCCCUUUUGGGCUCAUUUCGGACUAAUAAUAAUAAUAAUAAUACACUUUAUUUAUUUGAUUAA